CCUCGAUCCCAGGCCGAGUUUUCGCUUUUAUAACAGUUAGGCGAACAACUGGGCCUGGUACUAGUUGUCUGCACAUGUGUCAGUCGUUCGUCAGAUUCUGACGAAUGGAUAUUCUCGUUCACUUUCGUGACAUUUAUAUUCGUGUACUAUCGUGUACUAGAAGUCAGUUCCCGUUUUAUCAUUAUUGGAAUCGAUUGGAAUGGCUCUUAGCUGAAGCUUCUCUCUUCUCUGAAGCUUAUUCUGAAGACUGAACAACAAGGGAAGAGGUAUAAAGCUUUGUCAAGCUUGUUAAGGUCAGAUAUUUUUGUGUGGGCCCUAUGGCCGGCUAUGCUAUCAAGUCUUGUUCAUGUUUGGCAAGAAUGUAGGUAGACUAUAGUUUCAUCAUUAAUAUGGUGGAUCAAGUGAAGAGUGUGAGCUAGAGAACUUGGUGCUGCCAUCAUCAGCUCGUCGACAAUGACACUAUAACCGAGAAAUUUAAUAUGUAUAGAUCUACACGUAUUUAAAAUGUCUACUUCUCUGUACAGGAGCAAUGGCUAAUAUCCAGCUAUCCCAACAGUGCUCCUCUUGGCUAUACUAACGGACGAGACUGGACAGUUUGAGACACAGGACUGGAGUAUGACCUGCUCAUUCGAGCGUUGCUGGGUAGCUCAGAGACAUCAAGCAUCAAGAGAAUCUACGUUUUCUCAAGCAAUGAGUUACGAGUUGGGGCCUAGAAUCAGAGAAGUCCAGCAGCCUGCUAAAUCUUUUUGAAACGUAAUUUUAAGGCAUUCAAUCAUCCUGAAGUUGCCCUGGGUCACUGUAAUUGUGCUGCAGCACAACUGGCAACUCCCCAGGCCUUUGUGAAGCAGCUCCCUAUGUGCAUCUUUUGUGUACUCACUCUGUGCAUUUUCUGUGUACAAAUUUCGAUUAUUGAUUUAUUAAAUAUUUUUGCCGACCACAAA